rnacentral:rRNA from 1 species
CCUACGGGGGACAGCAGUAGGGAAUCUUCCGCAAUGGGCGAAAGCCUGAUCGAGCAACGCCGCGUGGGUGAAGAAGGUCUUCGGAUCGUAAAACCCUGUUGUUCGAGACGAAAGUGCGUGAGAGUAACUGUUCACGUUUCGACGGUAUCUAACCAGAAAGCCACGGCUAACUACGUGCCCGCAGCCGCGGUAAUACGUAGGUGGCAAGCGUUAUCCGGAUUUAUUGGGCGUAAAGGGAACGCAGGCGGUCUGUUAAGUCUGAUGUGAAAGCCUUCGGCUUAACCGGAGUAGUGCAUUGGAAACUGGGAGACUUGAGUGCAGAAGAGGAGAGUGGAAUUCCAGGUGUAGCGGUGAAAUGCGUAGAUAUAUGGAAGAACACCAGUGGCGAAAGCGGCUCUCGGGUCUGUAACUGACGCUGAGGUUCGAAAGCGUGGGUAGCAAACAGGAUUAGAUACCCGGGUAGUC